UACAGAGGUCCCAAGCGUUGUUCGGAUUCACUGGGCGUAAAGGGUGCGUAGGUGGUGGGGGAAGUCUGAUGUGAAAUCUCCGGGCUCAACCCGGAAACGGCAUCGGAUACUCUCCCGCUGGAGGGUUGGAGGGGAGACUGGAAUUCUCGGUGUAGCAGUGAAAUGCGUAGAUAUCGAGAGGAACACCAAUGGCGAAGGCUAGUCUCUGGACAACACCUGACACUGAGGCACGAAAGCUAGGGGAGCAAACAGG
rnacentral:rRNA from 1 species